rnacentral:rRNA from 1 species
AGACUAUGACGCUUAACUGGUUUGAGAGGAUGAUCAGUCACACUGGAACUGAGACACGGUCCAGACUCCUACGGGAGGCAGCAGUGGGGAAUAUUGCACAAUGGACGAAAGUCUGAUGCAGCAACGCCGCGUGGAGGAUGACACAUUUCGGUGCGUAAACUCCUUUUAUAUGAGAAGAUAAUGACGGUAUCAUAUGAAUAAGCACCGGCUAACUCCGUGCCAGCAGCCGCGGUAAUACGGGGGGUGCAAGCGUUACUCGGAAUCACUGGGCGUAAAGAGCAUGUAGGCGGAUUGAUAAGUUUGAAGUGAAAUCCUAUAGCUUAACUAUAGAACUGCUUUGAAAACUGUUAAUCUAGAAUGUGGGAGAGGUAGAUGGAAUUUCUGGUGUAGGGGUAAAAUCCGUAGAGAUCAGAAGGAAUACCGAUUGCGAAGGCGAUCUACUGGAACACUAUUGACGCUGAGAUGCGAAAGCGUGGGGAGCAAACGGGAUUAGAUACCCCGGUAGUCCACGCCCUAAACGAUGCACACUAGUUGUUGUGAGGCUAGACCUUGCAGUAAUGCAG